GGAGGCGCAUCUGGUCUGGUGACUGGCGCGGUCUUCAAAACCGUUGGGCGUGCGCGUGAGCGUGCGCCGGUCGGGUUCGAUUCCCACACGCCUCCGCCA
rnacentral:tRNA from 1 species